GUUAAUGGCAUCUUAGAUUUACCUCCUUAUUCAGAUCAGCAGCAGUUCAGCUGAAAAGCAAAACCACAGGCGGCUGCACAGGACCAAACGCAUAAGCACUGUGAAAGAAAUAAAACAGGGCUCCAGGAGGUCCAGCAAGUCUUCAGUAGAGAGUAUUAUAGCUGGAACAUGCACUGGAACUGCCACAUCUCCCUCCCACAAGGUAAGAUUUGUAGUGCUGCUCCCCUGUUUACAUUAGAUACCACAUUAGAUCUU
rnacentral:lncRNA from 1 species